UACGUAGGGCGCAAGCGUUAUCCGGAAUUAUUGGGCGUAAAGAGCUCGUAGGCGGUCUGUUGCGUCCGCUGUGAAAACUCGGGGCUUAACCCCGAGCCUGCAGUGGAUACGGGCAGACUAGAGGUAGGUAGGGGAGAAUGGAAUUCCCGGUGUAGCGGUGAAAUGCGCAGAUAUCGGGAGGAACACCGGUGGCGAAGGCGGUUCUCUGGGCCUUACCUGACGCUGAGGAACGAAAGCGUGGGGAGCGAACAGG
rnacentral:rRNA from 1 species